CCCAGACCCUGGUGAGACUAUAUCCUACACCGCUGUUGGAUAAACAAGACGGGCUUAGCAACAAACAGACAAACCAAGGAGAUAGGAAGCUUAAGUCGGUUCAGACUAUUGAGAUGCCCCCUAUGUCAGCAGUGAUCCCAGUCAAAUCUCCACUUGUAGGUACAACAGGAGCAACAACAAAUCUAUGCAGACUAUGGACAGUGCACUUCUCUGAGCAGAUUUAACGGCUAACCAAAAUUGGCGGCCAUGAUCCCUCGUCCGUUUCUGGCGGUGGCACCUCGUGUUGUCCCAAACAUGGCUACAGACACAGAGGAGGACAGUGAUGAUGAAAUGUAAACUGUUGGUAACCUGUUGGUCCUAACUUUAUUGUUAGGUAUUUCACUUAAUGGAAUUAAUCAGAUUUUAUCCCACUGUGUGUUGUUUCCAGACAGGAGCCCCAUCCUGGCCCAGGAUCUCUCUUCAAUGUGAACAACAGCAACAAUAAUGAAGAGUGAGUCCAGAUGGUCUGUUAAUGUUUGUGUGUGUGUGCCGUGUGUGUCAUAAGAUGUGUUCUUUUCCUCAGGGAGGAUAAGAGAAAGAAGAAAAAGGCCAAGAAAGAAAAGAAAGAGAAAAAAGAGUAAAUAAAUCAAU
rnacentral:lncRNA from 1 species